rnacentral:rRNA from 1 species
AUUGAACGCUGGCGGCAGGCCUAACACAUGCAUGUCGAGCGGAGCGGCGGACGGGUGAGUAAUGCCUAGGAAUCUGCCUGGUAGUGGGGGAUAACGUCCGGCAACGGGCGCUAAUACCGCAUACUCUCAGCUGAGCCUAGGUCGGAUUAACUAGUUGGUGGGGUAAAGGCUUACCAAGGCGACGAUCCGUAACUGGUCUGAGCGGAUGAUCAGUCACACUGGAACUGAGACACGGUCCAGACUCCUACGUGAGGCAGCAGUGGGGAAUAUUGGACAAUUGGCGAAAGCCUGAUACAGCCAUGCCGCGUGUGUGAAGAAGGUGUUCGGAUUGUAAAGCGCUUGAAGUUGGGAGGCGUUACCAACAGAAUAAGCACCGGCUAACUCCGUGCCAGCAGCCGCGGUAAUUC